rnacentral:rRNA from 1 species
CACGUAGGGCGCAAGCGUUGUCCGGAAUUAUUGGGCGUAAAGAGCUCGUAGGCGGUCUGUUACGUCUGCUGUGAAAACCCGGGGCUUAACCCUGGGCUUGCAGUGGAUACGGGCAGACUAGAGGCAGGUAGGGGAGAAUGGAAUUCCCGGUGUAGCGGUGAAAUGCGCAGAUAUCAGGAGGAACACCGGUGGCGAAGGCGGUUCUCUGGACAGUUCCUGACGCUGAGGCACGAAGGCCAGGGGAGCAAACGGG